UGAGCUGGACUUUAGUGUGGGAGAAUAAGUGCAUUACAGACUUCAGGGGGCGCUGUUGACUUCCUCUCUAUGUAAUGUGUCCACGUUUGUAGUAAGAUGUCGGAUAUGACGUAAAAACGUCGCAAUUUAGUAAGAUGUCGGAUAUGACGUAAAAACAACGCAGUUUAGUAAGAUGUCGGAUAUGAUGUAAAAACGACGCAGUUUAGUAAGAUGUCGGAUAUGAUGUAAAAACGACGCAGUUGAGUGAGAUGACGGAUAAGACGUAAAAACGACGCAGUUUAGUAAGAUGUCGGAUAUGGCGUAAAAACGACGCAGUUUAGUAAGAUGUCCGAUAAGACGUAAAAACGACGCAGUUGAGUGAGAUGACGGAUAAGACGUAAAAACGACGCAGUUUUGUAAGAUGUCGGAUAUGACGUAAAAACGACGCAGUUGAGUAAGAUGUCAGAUAAGACGUAAAAACGACGCAGUUGAGUAAGAUGACGGAUAAGACGUAAAAACGACGCAGUUGAGUUAGAUGACGGAUAAGACGUAAAAACGACGCAGUUUAGUAAGAUGUCAGAUAUGACGUAAAAAUUAUGCAGUUGUAAAUGACGUAAAAACAACGCAGUUUAGUAAGAUGUCGGAUAUGACGUAAAAACAACGCAGUUUAGUAAGAUGACGGAUAUGACGUAAAAACGACGCAGUUAAGUAAGAUGUCAGAUAUGAUGUAAAAACAACGCAGUUGAGUAAGAUGACGGAUAAGACGUAAAAACAACGCAGUUUAGUAAGAUGUCGGAUAUGAUGUAAAAACAACGCAGUUUAGUAAGAUGACGGAUAAGACGUAAAAACAACGCAGUUUAGUAAGAUGACGGAUAUGACGUAAAAACGACGCAGUUUAGUAAGAUGUCGGAUAUGAUGUAAAAACAACGCAGUUGAGUAAGAUGACGGAUAAGACGUAAAAAUGACGCAGUUUUGUAAGAUGUCGGAUAUGACGUAAAAACGACGCAGUUGAGUAAGAUGACGGAUAAGACGUAAAAACGACGCAGUUUUGUAAGAUGUCGGAUAUGACGUAAAAACGACGCAGUUGAGUAAGAUGUCGGAUAUGACGUAAAAACGACGCAGUUGAGUAAGAUGACGGAUAUGACGUAAAAACGACGCAGUUUAGUAAGAUGUCGGAUAUGACGUAAAAACAACGCAGUUGAGUAAGAUGUCGGAUAUGACGUAAAAACAACGCAGUUGAGUAAGAUGACGGAUAAGACGUAAAAACGACGCAGUUGAGUAAGAUGAAGGAUAAGACGUAAAAACGACGCAGUUGAGUAAGAUGACGGAUAAGACGUAAAAACGACGCAGUUUUGUAAGAUGUCGGAUAUGACGUAAAAACGAUGCAGUUUAGUAAGAUGUCAGAUAUGACGUAAAAAUGAUGCAGUUGUAAAUGACGUAAAAACAACGCAGUUUAGUAAGAUGUCGGAUAUCACGUAAAAACAACGCAGUUUAGUAAGAUGACGGAUAAGACGUAAAAACGGCGCAGUUGAGUAAGAUGACGGAUAAGACGUAAAAACGACGCAGUUUAGUAAGAUGUCGGAUAUGACGUAAAAACGUUGCAGAGUCAUAAUACGACAUUUAGACGUUGGGAGAAUCUUGACACUUUUUUUUUUUACAAUAACAUUUUCAUGUUAAAAAUUUCAAAAUGAUGUGUCUUGAUAAGAUUUAAGUUUUUUUUCAAACAAAUGUAUAAAAGAUAAAUAAACUAAAACGUCAUCACUGUUACUACAUACUUAAAAUGAGAAAUGAGUGUGUAAGCUAACUGACUGUGUGUGUGUGUGUGUGUACGUACAGCUGACGACAACCCUGUAGAGAAAGACUCUCUGAUGACACCACCGAUGGAAGAGGGAGCAAAGACGUCCCUGAACGGCUCGGACUCUGGCGUCUCCGUCUGAAGCAAAAGAUCUAAAUGAUCUAUGAGGGUGGGAGACAGUUGACAUCCAAACAGCAGCUGUGGGAUGUUAUUCUGACGUCCUGCAAAGAAAAUCAAGGAUAAAGUCUGCAAAACCUCACAAGUUCAAAGGAUGCAGGAAUCGUGAAUCUGCUGUAAAUCAGGUUUCCUAUGUUAAAAUGAUGUUUUUUAUUUCAGUAAACCUCCUGAUGCUGCAAAUUCAACAAAUGACCAUUUUCACUUCCUUACAACCUAUAAAAUGUUUCCAAACUCUGUUUCCGUUCGUAAUAGUUUGGAACGGUGCAGUGCACACGCUUCUUAUUUUUGAAAAAAAUGAUGUUAUCAUUGGGAGGUUUGUUCAAUAACAUUCAAAUCAUAUUCUCAAUACUGGAAAUUAUGCCGACUGUCAUUUGCAUCAGCUAUUUAGGAAAAUCAGAGUAAAAUGUAAUUUGUGUAAUAAUUUGGAACAAGGUGUGAAGACUGUAAAUAUACAAGAUUAUAAAGAUAUAUAAACCCUAAAUAUCUAGGUAUACAUAUACAAACAUAGUAAGUAAUAAAGAUUUAAGUCUAAACAACAUAAUAAACAGCAGCAAGUAACAACAACAAGGACAGUGAGUUGUCGAUGAUAGCAGUAAAAACACAGUGUGUCUGUGGUGAUGAUUGUAUACACCUGUGUUGUGGUGUUGCUUCUUCUGUCCUACUGUGGAAUCAGAUUUGUGUUAUUAUUAAAGAGUUUCCCAUAUUUCUCAAUGAUUAAAUCCAUAUAUUAUUUGCAAUUUGUUCAUUUUUUAUUUUUGCUUGAUUCAUAAAGUGUUUGAAAAUAUUAACACAAAUUUAAUUCAUACUGAACCAAAAAUGAUGUAAAAAAAAUAAUUUAAUCUCAGAUUUUAUGCCGUUUUAUUUGUUUCUUUCAAAAAUACUUCCAGUAUAUUAUAGAAACUGUUCCGUGUUUUAGAAACAUUGAGCCGGGUUUUUUCAUUAACAUUUACACGCAGACGUAGAGACAAAAAAAUAUUUCAGUUUCUCUUGUAACAAGAUCAAAUUUUCACUUAAUUAAAAUCAGAUUUCUUUUUAAUUUCCUAAAUGUAAUGGUACGGAAGAGUGUUAGUGCCACAUGUAAAAAAAAAAAAAACCCAGCGUGACUUCUGGGAUUUCUGUCUUUAAGCUCAGAAUUUAUGCUGUUUUAUUUUCUUUCAAAAAAAUGUUUUAUGUGUGGCACUAAUACUCUUCCGUACAAACUUUUUUUUUGCUUUUCAGAUUUUUAAUUCUCAGUUGAGUAUUGAAAAAUGUAAAUAUUGAAUGAAGGAAUUUCUUCAUAAAAUGUUCACAGUUUAAAUUCAGUUUUCUUGAUUUAUGCACAAAAUCAAAAGUUAUGAAAAACAAAAAUGUUUGGAUUAGGAUUAUAAAACAAAUUGGAAAACUUCCUUUGCCAAUGUUAGACUCUCAGACUGAUACAGAUGGAAUUAAAUAUUCUAGAUUAUGGGUCGUCAGUGUUUUUAAUCUGGGUUUGAUCUCAUGUGUGUUUUCAGUAUUUGAAUAUAGUCUUUGUGGAAUGUUUUUUUUGAACUGUAUUUUCUGUUUCAAUUUGAAUCUAAAGUUGUAUUUUUUCAUCAUAUCUGAAUCAUUUAUCUUUCUUGUAAAGUCACGAUAGGUAAAAGUGCUUUAUAUAAACUGCUUUAUAGACCCUU